rnacentral:lncRNA from 1 species
AUGCUCAUUUCAGGAGAUGUGUCUGUGUUUCAGGGCAACAGACAUGCCUGUAACUCCAACUGCAAAGGAGACUCAAGUAGACAAGCCCAUGGCCACCCUAGGCAAAGUCUGAUGGGACAGGAGAACGUACAUGUGAGCGGAGAAGAUACACACAGUACAUGUAUCCAAUUUUUCUUACUGUUGGUAAUGACUCAUGAGCACAGCAAUUCUAGUGGGCCCACCUUGCGUGAGAGUUCAGUGAUACUCAAAGUGAAUACAAGAUGAGAAUGUUA